rnacentral:misc_RNA from 1 species
GAUUUGUUUAAUGAGCUCAGCUUGCAUCUUCGGGUCAACUUGAUGGGGUAUGAUUAUAGUGGAUAUGGACAGUCCAGUGGAAAGCCAACUGAGCAGAAUACUUAUGCGGACAUAGAAGCUGCAUAUAGGUGCCUCGAAGAGAGAUAUGGAGUGAAGGAAGAAGAUAUCAUCCUAUAUGGACAAUCAGUUGGAAGUGGACCU